rnacentral:rRNA from 1 species
UACGGAGUGUGCAAGCGUUACUCGGAAUCACUGGGCAUAAAGCGCGCGUAGGCGGGCUUUCAAGUCGGUUGUGAAAUCCCUCAGCUCAACUGAGGAACUGCAUCCGAUACUGUUUGUCUUGAGGACGAGAAGGGAGAGUGGAACUUCUGGUGGAGCGGUGAAAUGCGUAGAUAUCAGAAGGAACGCCGGUGGCGAAAGCGACUCUCUGGCUCGUAUCUGACGCUGAGGCGCGAAAGCUUGGGUAGCAAACGGG